UGGCACAUCCAUUACUGGCUACUCACACAAGGAGGUGGUAGACCUCAUGACCAAUGCUGUCCACCUUGGUCACGUCAAGCUUACUUUACGCCGUAAAAUCUAGGCUUUCUUUCUGAACCAGUGAGCAGAUAGGAGUUCUCACAGUACUCGCUUCACACUGGAUCCAAACACAGCGGUGUAAACCUGAGAACAGGAGGGAGGAAGGUAGAGCCAAAGUCAAGUCGUAUACAGAUAAUAUCCUGAUCAGUGACAGUGAUGCAGUAACGUGUUACUCUAUUCUGACCACUUUUUUCGGUAACAAGUAAUCCAGUGCGCUGCUAUUUCUAAACGAGUAAUCAGAUUAAAGUUACCUAUCAAAGUCACUGUGCGUUACUAUUUUUGUCAUCAAGAACCACAACUUACAACUUACCACAACUUUUGCUAACAGCUGUUUGGGGGCUGAAUAGUGCCCAUUUAUGUUAGCAGCAAGUUACUUUUAUCUAUUGGUUUUAUGAUUGGCUAGUGUACAUCAUUUACUCUGAUCAAAAUGAUACCACCAUUAACGCUACCAUUUACUCAGCAGCACUCUGAUUGAUCAGUUUAAAAGCUGAGGCUUUAUUAUCUUCUCACAUGCUUGUAUCAGUUUUACCAUGUUUACGAUUACGGUAGCGUGUUUGUCUUCAAUAAAAGUUUCUGCUUUAACAAAUGACACUUUCAUGUCCUGAAUAAUAUAGCACACCGUUUAAUACCUUUCUCCUUCUUCCUCUU